GGCGAGGUAGCUCAGCUGGUUAGAGCGCAUGAUUCAUAAUCAUGAGGCCGGCGGUUCAAGUCCGCCUCUCGCUA
rnacentral:tRNA from 1 species